GGAACAGUCCCAGGAGGUGACAACACUCCCGUCACGGCCAAUGAAGCUCUGCUUUGGGCAACACGCUGACAACUGACAUCAAGUCCCUUUGUUGGCUACUGUACAAGACUGUGAAGGGGGUGGGGGUUCAGACUCCCAGGGAACACUGCCUCUCUGUCGCAACUUUUGGCUCGGUCCUUGGACCUAAAUAACUCAAACGCAAGCACCCACGCAGGAAGCGAGGAGAUCUGGGCACCGGGAGCCGAGGCUCUGAGGUUGUCAUUGUGAGGAGAAGCCACCAAAACUCUGCUGCUACUUUGAUACCUUUUGGCACAAUGGAAGUUCAGAUCUGAGACCAACGGUGAAUUAAAAGCAUUUAAAGUCCGAAAUGUAUCGCCACUCACCACUGAAGAAUGAUAAUGUAAGAUGGAUCGACAAAUGGGAUCAGAGUGACGGUAGACUAGCCAAACAAAGUUUUGCUGCCCACAGCAUACAACUAUGAUGUGUUCAAUUCUCUCAAUAUGUGAUGAAAAAAACACGAGUAACAGGAUAGGUAACCUAAGAGGUUCCGCUGUAAUAACAGAAGACGUGGUCCUCCAGUUAUGGACAAGUUGUGUUCCAAAUGUUACUGGAGGUCGGAAGUCAACCCCAGGGUCACUGCAUGCCACCAGGCAAGGCUGGCAACUGCUUGGGGCCACAGCCCAGUUUGGGGGCAUCCAAAGCUGCCACAGCUUUUGGAUGAGAUUCCGGUGAGAUAGGGGGCCCCUGUGAAUUUUUGCCUCGGGCCCUAACAGAUACUCGAGUGGUACACACAGAAACAUAAAACAUAAAAUACACAAAAAACACUACUCUGCUUAUUUAUUACUGUCGCAGACCCUUUAACAUA